CAGUCGCCGCGGGAAUACAGAGGGUGCGAGCGUUAAUCGGAUUUACUGGGCGUAAAGCGUGCGUAGGCGGCUUCUUAAGUCGGAUGUGAAAUCCCUGAGCUUAACUUAGGAAUUGCAUUCGAUACUGGGAAGCUAGAGUAUGGGAGAGGAUGGUAGAAUUCCAGGUGUAGCGGUGAAAUGCGUAGAGAUCUGGAGGAAUACCGAUGGCGAAGGUAGCCAUCUGGCCUAAUACUGACGCUGAGGUACGAAAGCAUGGGGAGCAAACAGGAUUAGAUACCCCGGUAGUCCCUGUCUCUUAUAC
rnacentral:rRNA from 1 species